CUGCGGUGGGGUCGGUGGUUGGGUUUGCAGCUGGGGAGGGUUUCUAUCAGUAAAAGGAGCAGGUGAUAUCUCCGUUCUUUCUUUUUUUAACGCUUGAAAUGAAACAAGGCAGCCAUAUGCCUUACAUAAAAGUUAGAAAAUACAGGCUGAAGAACUUAAAAUGGAUUUAGAAUCCUGCAAAAAGGCAGUUUGGAGUGUCGGGGUACUGCUGAAACUCUCCACUGGUGGUCUCAGGAGGUAGACAAGUUUUUCCCAAUAGCAGAAGAGGUCUUCUCGUGCAUCUGAAGAAGGACACAGCUGCAGAUAAAAAGUGCGGCCGGUGGCAAGCUUCAGGCGCAACUGCUGUUUCUCGCGAUCGUGGAUGGAGAUCUUGACAAACUUCAAGGGAAGCAGCCUGGUGAGCUCUAGGGUCUUCAUGGGCUUGUGACCUCUCCCCCUGGUGGGCCGGGCAGGUCUGGCAUGCUCUUCACAGACUUUAGUUGGUCGGGCCAGCAGCAUGACGUCAGGUAGUGGAAGGAUGGGGCUGGUGGAUGCGAUGCCCACAGUCACCAUUCGGACACGGUUGUGUACAUCAAUCACCUCUCCUUUUUUGCUGAUCUGGAUAAAGUCACUCUCAAACAUCGGUGCGUACUUGAAAAUAUCAUACUCUCCUCCCUUGUUCAGUUGUCGCUGCAGGUCUCCCAUGGAGGUAUUGAACACACCCGUUGAACGGUAGCUGUGGGCCGUGUAAUAAGGUAACAAACAUUCACUGCUCAUGGUUCUCUUCAUUCUGGACAGCUCCGCCAGCCACAAGUUGAGUCCCCGAGAGAGAGAUGGAGUGAAGGCAACUGCCCAUCUCCCUGCAGGGCUCUGCCUAAAUAUCCUCGCACUACCACAUUUAUCCUCCACAGUCCUUUGUGACCUGUCACCAUCCCACAUCCCUUUGUCCCAGCCUCCAAGCAGCCACCCCCUGGGGCAGGGUCACCAGCCUCCCCCCAGACAAACCACCACCUCCACAGGGGACAGGCUGACCCUGCCAGGGUUAGGUGUGGGUAGGCUGGAUAUUCUUUCUAAUCAAAAUGUUGGGAUGCAUAAUUUAUGAAACCAUUCCACUUUUGUAAAUGUCGGGAUUGUUUCCAGUUUUGUUGUUGUUGUUACAGACAUCUCUGCAAUGAUCAUCUUCCUGCAAAUAUACUUCUGCAUCUGUUGAAUUAUUUCCUGUGGAUAAAAUCCUGGAAGUGGGCCAUGUGCUUGAUAAGGGGAGGGAUCCUGUCGGGGUUGUUAUUCCCCGUGUCCCUAGUGCAUAGCACAGUGCUAACAGAUACUCAGAAAAAGUUGUUGAAUGAAUGGUUCAAAAGGGCUUCUGCUACCUAUCAGAAACAGAGUCCCAUUUGUACAGCAGUUUCCAGUGUGUGAAGGUUUUUCUCACCCAUUUUCUCAUUUGAAGGAGGCUAAUGUUUAAAACCAUAAUUUUAUGUUGAGGAGUUGAGGCUCAAGAUGAUCUUGCUCAGGGUCAGAAUGCACAGCUGGAUUCUAUUCCAGGUCUUGUGACUCAGGUCAGGGCUUUUUCUCUGUCUCAAGCUUCAUGGUUCACCAUUAUACUCUCAUUCUGCACCAAAUAUGGAGUCGUUUGCAGUUAGCAAUAUGUGUGGGGACUUACUGGGAACCACAGGAAUUCACAGAGGUCUUGAAUCACCAUAGGAUUUCCCACACUGGUAUGCCUGCUGCUUAGCCCUUGAUGUCUACCUGAUAAACCAUUGACGUUUCGUUUCUUUGAAAAGGUCUUCAGAGAAAUUAUGGCAAAGACACCUUUCUGGAGUUUUUUUACUUUGUACAAGGUGAUGAAUCCAAAUUCCCCCUCCUCCAGUUAGAAAAUGACUUCUGAAAUAAAAACAUAUCCCCCAAACUCAAUGAUUGCUAUGUGAAGGUCUUGAAAUAAACUUCAACCCCCUGAAUGUUCUUUUUUAUAUUGCUAGUGCCUACUGCAGUACCUGGCAUAUGGAAGCUUUUCAAUUAAUAUGAACUUGCUUGUACCCAUUGAAAUUCAUUCUUCCGUUCAUUUAGUCAACAAAAUUUAUUGAGCAAGUACUAUUUUUGGGACCAACUAGGAAAUGGAAAUGCGAAGAUAAAGGUCUCUGCCUCUGAAGAGCUAAAAUGUUUUUCUAAAGAUAUAAAAUGACUUCUCCAAAAAUAGAACACAGUGGCUUAUAUUCUACUAUAAGGAGAUAAUCACUGAAAGUUAACACUAUUAGCCUUAAAAAUAAGAAGUAAGUAAAUUUUCUAUAUUCGGCCAUAUAUUCUUCUCUUAAGCUCAUUUCUGAUGAAUGAUUUAAUAAUGAGAGAAAUCAUAAUUAUAUCAUUAAGAACUUACUACAAGCCAGGCAUGGUGCUAGCCACUUUACAUUCUUUUAAAAAUUUAAUCCUCACAACAGCCCUGUAAAAUGUAGGUACAACAACUAUCCCUGUUUUAUAAAGGAGGAAAUCAAAGCUCCAAGAAGUUAAGCAGCUUCAUCAAGGUCACAAGAGACCAAAAGCAUAUGGAAGACCCCAAAUGUGGCAAUGGUUAAACUACACUGGAGUGGGUGGCACAAAAAGAACACAAAUGCACAAGUACUAUGCAGCAUAAAUUCAUCCACUCAUUUAAUUAAUAUUAAGUGCCUACUUUGUGCCAGCUUCUGUUCUAGGUGCUAGGAACACAGCAGUGGACAAAACAAAUAUCCUUGCUCUCAUGAAGCUUGUGUCUAAUAGACAGUAAAUGAGCAAAUAUAUGGUAUGUCCAAUGCUGGUAAGUGCUAUAGAGAAAAGACAA